rnacentral:rRNA from 1 species
AUUCCCGGUUGAUCCUGCCGGAGGCCAUUGCUCUUGGGGUCCGAUUUAGCCAUGCUAGUCGCACGGGUUCAGACCCGUGGCAAAUAGCUCAGUAGCACGUGGCCAAUCUACCCUCCGGAUCAGCACACCCUCGGGAAACUGAGGCCAAUUCUGUAUACGGCUCCCGACCUGGAAUGGUGGGAGCCCGAAACGCUCCGGCGCCGGAGGAUGAGGCUGCGGCCGAUUAGGUUGACGGUGGGGUAAUGGCCCACCGUGCCGAUAAUCGGUCUGGGUCAUGAGAGUGAGAACCCAGAGACGGAAUCUGAGACAAGAUUCCGGGCCCUACGGGGCGCAGCAGGCGCGAAACCUUUACACUGCACGGAAGUGCGAUAGGGGAAUCCCAAGUGCGAGGGCAUAUUAGCCCUCGCUUUUCUCGACUGUAAGGUGGUCGACGAAUAAGAGCUGGGCAAGACCGGUGCCAGCCGCCGCGGUAAUACCGGCAGCUCAAGUGAUGUCCCAUAUUAUUGGGCCU